rnacentral:lncRNA from 1 species
AAACAAAACCCAUUUUUUUUCAUUUCAAAAUGGAAUGAUAGAAGUACAACAAAUACAUAAAAAUGAAAUCAAGAGUUCACACUCGCAUCAUCAGGAUUAACAAUAUCCUCUUCCUCUUCUACCUCUUCAUAUUCAUCUCUUUCACAUUCAGCGAUGGGGGCAGCACUGGUUUUAGCGGGACUAUUAGCAAGAAAAAAUCUAUUUAAGUUCUUCCACUCCUCAACGAACUCUUCCCAAGCAAGCCCCGAGGGAAAAUAGAUGUCAAAUCCAAGUUGAGCAUCUAUAAGGUGACUCAAAGCAUCGAAGUUUACCUUGCGAGCAUCAAAAGGCCCUCCAAUAACUUGAGCAUGUAGCAAAAUGUUGGAAUUCAAAUCUAGUAGGUAAUCUUGAAAAUUCUGCAUCAUUUCUUCCUGACACUUCGCCAAGGCUUCCUCGUGAUGCUUCUACGAGUCAGCCAUCUCAGUUGUAUGUUUCUCACCCAUGCCUUUGGUAGUUUCUUGGAGACCAACCUUUUCAGCUUGUAUUAACCUAAUUUCUUCAUUUAACUUCUCAUUGGCUCCUUCUGAAAGAGUGAGGCGUUCCUCUAGCCUUUUAUUGCACUCCACCAAAUUCUCAUAAUCUUCCUCUAACUUUCUAUGUAGUUCGUGAGCCCUCUCUAAAGCUUUCUUGGUGGACUGAUAGUCGUUCUCCACCCCUAAUUUAUUAGCCUCCUCCUCUAUCAUACCUUUUGCGAGCCCUAGACUAAUGACUUCAGUUUCAGCAAAAGCCACUUGCAGAGACAAUACAAGCUCUUUUAGCGAUGAUUUUUUGGUACAUCUUGAUAAGGCACAAGGGCAAACACAAUCUUUAACCUCCUAAAGCAUUGAUUCUUUCCACUUUCUACUCACCUCAGUAGGACAAUAAGGAAAUUUCUUCACACUUAAUUGAUCAUGCCAAGGAAACAAAGUAUUGAUUUCACCGUCAGAAGCCAAUAGCUUCAACGAACCUCCCGAA